UUGGCGGACGGGUGAGUAACGCGUGGAUAACCUGCCGUAUACCGGGGGAUAACACUUAGAAAUAGGUGCUAAUACCGCAUAAGCGCACGGCUCCGCAUGGGGCAGUGUGAAAAACUCCGGUGGUAUACGAUGGAUCCGCGUCUGAUUAGCUGGUUGGAGAGGUAACGGCUCACCAAGGCAACGAUCAGUAGCCGACCUGAGAGGGUGACCGGCCACAUUGGGACUGAGACACGGCCCAAACUCCUACGGGAGGCAGCAG
rnacentral:rRNA from 1 species